AGAUAAACAAAAAGAAUAUAAUCACUCAUAAUCUAGCUAUCGAAAGACAGCCAUGGUUAAUAUUCUAAUACAAAUUUCUUUGUAAUUUUUCUUUCAGUUUAAGUGAGAGAAAAAGAUUGUAUGUAACAAAAUUGUGAUAGAAUUCUUAUUUUUUAAUACUCAAACUUUAUGUAAUAUAUGCAUAGACGUAUCUAUUCACAAUUUCUUGUCCAAUUUUUAUAGAAAAACACAUUUACAUAACCAAAAUUCAGACAGUUUUGACAGAACCACAUUAGUUGAUCAUUUUUAUUCUACAAUAAAUUGCUAGCCUUUUGCUUAUUUGUCUACUAGGUUAUUUAUCUUUGAUAUUGAUAUGUAGGAAGAACUUUAUAUUUUUUGCCUCCCUAUUUGCUUUUGACUAUGGCUCUUGUGGGUUAUUUUUGAACUUGGUCUUUUUAACCAUAAAGGAAUUUUAAGGUUGUAUAUAAACAAAUCAAUAUAUCACCAACUUAUUCCCAUGUGAUUCUGAAUUCCAGAUCUCUAAGAUUAUAGAUUUCUAUAUUUUCUGGUAUACUUACAUGUGUUCAUAUGUAGAAAUAUAUUAUACAUUAAUAUACAAAAUGUGUAUAUUUAAUACAUAUAAAUUACUUCUCUUAAAUUAUUGGAGUAGAACUCCAUUUCUCUCAAAAUGACCCAGUUGUCCAAACAUUGUUUCUAAAUGCCAACUUUGCUAUAUAUGAUUUUAUAUAUACAUAUACGAGUUUAUUUUGGUGUUCUUAUCUCUUCUAUUGAUAUGUUUACCUAUUCUGGUACCAGCACCAGACUUUAAGUGUCUCUAGCAUUAUUUUAUGUUUUUAAACCCAGGAAUAAAGCUCUUGUUUCUUUUUAAAUAUUUUUUAAGUAUACUAGAGUUCAUUCUAACUAAACUUUUGAAUGAAUAUGAUAUCUCACUGUAGUGAAUUUUCUGAUUGGAAAAUAUAUUAGUAUCAUAGCUAAACUGAGAUUUCACAUUAUCUGAAACUAUUUCAGAAUUUAUUCCCGGAUCGUUUACAAUCAAAGUUGCUUGUGAGUGCAAUCAUUUUUAACAACUUAUGUCAUUAUUUGGAUAUAGUUGCCAUAUGUCCAAGCUAUUAUUAUUUCUAACAUGUUUUGAGGAGACUACCUUUUGUAACAUGAGUGUUGUUAAGCAAACAGUUUCAGUUCUCUGUCCUGUAAGAUGCUGAGGAGGAAGUGAUUACCGAGUUGGACCGCCCUGGAAUGAUGCUGAGGUUUUUGCAGCCUCGUCUGUCUCCGAAAGUUUGCUCAGAGUAGCUGCGAUUUUAUGUGACCUGUUAAUGUUGCAUAGAAAGAAAAUGAGGAGAAGGCACGGGAGGUUUCUCUGCAGAGGAGAAAGCCGGGUGGCAGAACAAAGAUUUGGAGCCCCUGGUCUGGCUGUGGAGAUGAAGGAAGGGCCUGAGCCAAGGAAUGUAGAAAUGUGACCUUGGAAACUGGAAGAGGCAAAGCAAGGAAUUCUCCCUGAGAACACACAGAGAGAGGGAGGCCCUGCUGACACUUCAAUUUUAACCUGUUGGAACUUCAGGCUUGACAUCCAGAAUUUGUUACAGAAGACCUACCUUGGAUUGUGACAGAACUGAAAUGCAAGCUGCCUGAGGGGGAAAUGGGAAGGAUGUUUGUGGGAGCUGAAAGCAAUAAACAAAAGCAGAGAAGGGAAAAGAAGGAGGUGCAGAGUCCUGAAGUCGGCAAGAAAGCAAGGCUUUGAAUGUUUUCUGUGGCUGUCAUGGGGCAGAGCACUGCUUUGCAGAAGUGGAGAAGGAGUGACUGUGUCUACUUGUUACCUCAUCUCUGACGCCCUGCGGCUGUCGCUGACCAGACUCCGUCAUCGUAUGUUUGUCUGUUCGGCCUGACUGUCCACUUUAAUUAGCUGUGAGCUCCAUGAGACCAGCGUGAUCCCUAUUUGGUCUGUCUUUAUGUCCUCAGUGUCCAGUACCUGGAGCUUCAUAAAUGUCCUCAAAAUGUGUUGAAUAAAUGGUUUGUGAGCA